rnacentral:rRNA from 1 species
UGCAGUCGAGCGGACCGACGGGAGCUUGCUCCCUUAGGUCAGCGGCGGACGGGUGAGUAACACGUGGGUAACCUGCCUGUAAGACUGGGAUAACUCCGGGAAACCGGGGCUAAUACCGGAUGCUUGAUUGAACCGCAUGGUUCAAUCAUAAAAGGUGGCUUUUAGCUACCACUUGCAGAUGGACCCGCGGCGCAAUAGCUAGUUGGUGAGGUAACGGCUCACCAAGGCGACGAUGCGUAGCCGACCUGAGAGGGUGAUCGGCCACACUGGGACUGAGACACGGCCCAGACUCCUACGGGAGGCAGCAGUAGGGAAUCUUCCGCAAUGGACGAAAGUCUGACGGAGCAACGCCGCGUGAGUGAUGAAGGUUUUCGGAUCGUAAAACUCUGUUGUUAGGGAAGAACAAGUACCGUUCGAAUAGGGCGGCACCUUGACGGUACCUAACCAGAAAGCCACGGCUAACUACGUGCCAGCAGC